ensembl:lncRNA
GUCGCUAGAGCUCGAUGAGCCAAGUAAAGCCAACCCGGCCAAACCCUCUCCUAAACCGGACGAUGCUAGGCCCUAUGGGACUACCGAUCACGGACGGUUGAGAUACAGCCUGGGAUCAAACCGAGUCACCUAUCCUGACUGCCGACGUUAUCUACCCGAAGGAGUUAUCCGGCUGGCUCCUCCGUUGCGACGUUACCUGAACGCCCAUCUGCAGCCUGCUAACCGUUAGCUGUCUUAUCGGCUGCUAUCUGAAUAGACAAUCGACAAUUUAUUUAUUUAUUUUUAUUAUUAUUAUUAUGUUUUCUUCUUGGGCCUCUAUAACUAUAUCUAUUGUUUUUACUUUUGUUGUUGUUGUGUGAUUUGGAUUAAUCCCCUCUACCACACGGAACCCCACUAAUCUACUGACGGAACGCAAGAGGUGGCUAAUAACAGACCUCCAUCCUAUGCUAGCUUACUACCGAUGGCCGGGCUAGCUGUCUAAAUCGCCGUGACACCCAGCCAACCUCUCCACUCACCGGACCCUUUUGAUCACUCGACUAAGCAUGCCUCUCCUUAAUGUCAAUAUGCCUUGUCCAUUGCUGUUCUGGUUGGUAUUUAUUGGUUUAUUUCACUGUAGAGCCUCUAGUCCUGCUCACUAUACCUUAUCCAACCUAUUAGUUCCACCACCCACACAUGCAAUGACAUCUCCUGGUUUCAAUGAUAUUUCUAGAGACAAUAUCUCUCUCUUCAUCACUCAAUACCUAGGUUUACCUCCACUGUAUUCACAUCCUACCAUACCUUUGUCUGUACAUUACACCUUGAUGCUAUUUUAUCGCCCCCAGAAACCUCCUUUUACUCUGUUCCAGACAUUCUAGACGACCAGUUCUUAUUGCUUUUAGCCGCACCCUUAUUCUACUCCUCCUAUGUUCCUCUGGCGAUGUAGAGGUGAAUCCAGGCCCUGCAGUGCCUAGCUCCACUCCUAUUCCCCAGGCGCUCUCUUUUGACGACUUCUGUAACCGUAAUAGCCUUGGUUUCAUGCAUGUUAACAUUAGAAGCCUCC